rnacentral:sRNA from 1 species
CUGAUUGGGAUACUCUUCAAAUUUUUAUGAAAUGCCGAGACUAGUAUAUUGGUCAAUGGCGGGCCUCAACCCUUUCGGGUGUCUUCGCGACCAGAGGAUUACAAAGACUGGUAUACCCUCAAAUCCUGUAUUUAUCGGAGUUUCAUCACAUCCCUUUGAUGUGGCUUUU